GGAUGCUGGUAGUCUUUAUCAAUCUAUCAGUUUUAUUGAGAGAAAGUUCCAAACCCAAAGAUAUUCACUUGACAAAGAUACAAAACAGAGAAAAGCAUCAGAUCUUUGCAUCUGAGAAGCUGAAAAGAGUUUUGGCAGUUUUUCUCUAUUGUUUCUGAAAUAGUUUAAAUAGAACUUCGUAACCGUCUUCCACAUCAUGUGCCUUUAUGAGCCUUUAGGUGAAACCAUGCUAACAGGUGAGUUCUACAGUGACUCUAAUCCUGUAACUGCUAACAUGAACCUGCUGCAGAGACCCGGGCCUGUCCAUCACAUAUAUGUUCUUUACAUGAGACAUUUUUUUUUCCUCCCAUGGGACAGAUACUGCGCCCCACCCCCCAUUCCUCUUAGUCACUCUGCGCAUGAGUAAGGUCAGAGUGUCCCGACCACAAUUACUGGCCGUAAGCUGAAUGGCCAUUUUUGCUGCUGUCGUCAGGAUUAUCUGGUGGCUUAAUUACUCUUCCUUUUACGCCCCUUUUUUCACUUGGUCUUAGCUCAGCAGAUAGUGCGGAGGGACGAGGCGCUUACUCUCAGGAAGUGUUUGAGAGCUCGAGCAGACCGGUUACACGACUGAACACUCAGUGGGAAGCUUCUGCCCGGAUGGCGCCAUCUGGUCAAGAUUUUAACUCAUCCGGUGAAACAGAGAGCAGCAGGGAUGACGUAUUUUUGAAAGCUAACCCAGAAGUUAUCUUCGCCCUGGGUCCCUCGACAGGAAGCUGGUCCUCAUCUCAUCUCCAGGUCCGUUCAAGCAGCUGUUCUGGAACUUGCGAUUACAUCACACGAUGAUCAUCAGCAGAUAAAGUCGGCCCAGUUUUCAUUGGAUUGUCGGUGUUCAAAUGUCCAUUUUGAGUAACACUGGGAUGAGGAUUUCUGGAUUUUGGGCUGUGAUUGGGGUUUGUAGGUCAAAUUGGGAGUCUUGUUUUUGGUCGUGGCCGGUCCGUUAGAGGUCACCACGCUGCUGACGUUGUCUUUGGGAAACGUUCAGGGAGGGGAUGUUGAAAAUGUGUCUGUUUCUGCUUUAAAUAACAGACUAGAUUUGCUCAUGGAUUCUCACUUUUUUAACAAGGCUUUUUCAUUCUAGUUUUUGUUGUUCUGUGUCAUCCUACUAGAGACAUAAAUCUAUAAAAACCGAUCACCUUGAUGCAAAAAUUGACCUAAAUGCAAGACGCAGGCAGGUAAUAAACAAAAAACUGAGCUUUAAUAACUUAACUUGGGUCCACAUUCACGAUACAAGCUCGUCUCUAAAGUGUGGUGCUUCACCAGUAACUAUAAAAAUGUGUCUGUCCUCAUCAGAAUAACGGCCAUAUACACAAGAAAAGCAGCUUAAUAUGACCCAUAUGUUCGUUACCUGUUAGGCAGCGACCUCUAGUGGUCACAGUCAUUAUUACGGCAGCAAAGGAGGAAGUCAGGUGAUUGAGUAUAAAUGUACAUAUAAGGAGAAAACAAAAACAGGAGUCUGACCCAAGAAACCAGAGUUCAUGUCCUGUGACGUCAAAGGUCAACUAUGACUCAUUUUAACCGAGUAACCCGGUUCAGUUACAUGAGUUUUCCCACAUGUUACUCAUUACACUUUGUGCUCCGCCUGAAAACAGCUGUAUAAUGUCCUCUGUGGCUUUAAAGGAGCAGAGCAAUGACCCCGAUAAUGUCAAUGCUCCUGUUUUUGGAUUUGAACCCACGCUUGAGACUUAAGGUCAGGAUAUUUCAA